rnacentral:lncRNA from 1 species
ACGAGGAUCAAUAGGAGGAUUAAUAUCUCCAAAAAGAUACUUGAAAAAUUGCUCAAGAUUAAGACCGCUGCGAUGGAAAAUGUUGAGGUGUUUAGGCUCAUGAAGGCUAUUUAUGAUGGCUCCAGCAUCCUCCACCGUGGCAUUCUCUUGCUUUUGAACUUCAACCAAGAAACGAUGGAGGUUAUCAACGCUUAUGGUCCCGUUUUCGGAGUAGCGGUCGAAUAUGGACUUGAUUUCAGCCGGGGCCUCUGCAGAAGCCAGCUUGAACCUUCGCCGGCAACAAAAGCAUACUCUGUAGGUCUGUUUAGACAUGCGAUUGGAUUUUGGAUUUACGUCAACUAAAAGUGAAAGAAGAGAAGAGGAGUAGAGUUGAUUAUGGAUGUUGAGGAUUGAGGAUCUUAGGUGUUUUUUUUUAUCAAGGAUGGGAUUUGAGGAUAGCUUUGCUUGUGAAGAUGGGAAGGCAUUUCCGGAGAUUGGACCGGGCAAAGUUCACUGUCGAACUCGGAACCAAAUCCAACCAACCGAACUUUUUCCUACAGGGAAAAAAAAAAAAAGAAAAGAAAAGAAAAAGAUAACGAUUCUGGUUUGGGAAACCUUUCAAUCGUUGGAUUUUGUUUGUGGAUAAAGGUCGGGUUCUGGUAAGGUUGCAAUAUCCUGCAAUUCUGGAACGUCCCCAACCUUUACGCUUUACUUCUUAUUGGUCCAGCUCUGGUGGUGAGCUGUGAGGUCAUUGUUGAUUGUUUCUCCUUUUUGUCUCCAUGCAUACAGCUGGUUGCCCCGCUGGGCCGGCCACCAUUGGAUCAAAGAAAAUUGUGUCUAAUUCAGUCAAUCAAUCAAUGAGGCCCUCCACCUCAUUAUCGAGUGGAGGAGUGUCACCAAUGAACAACCCCAAUUAAAUCCCAUUACUUGCAAAGAUAAUCACAUUUCAUUUCACGUAUUUUUUUGUCAUCUAAGGAGUAAUAAUUAAAGAGUAAAUUUCAUAUGCACUAUAAGUAUACACACUAUCACGAAUAAAUGGAUGACACGUAAUCAAAUUUUACACAUGUAUUAUAUAUUUAAUAGUGAUAGUGUAUAUAAGAUUAAUUCAUGAUUAAAUCCCAUUACUUACAAAGAAUAUCAUAUUCACGUACCCCUUUUGUCAUCUAAAGAGUAAUAAUUAAACAUUAAAGAGCCUUUUUUUGGGAUAAUUUCAGAAACCGUCCCUAAUAUUUUUGACAAUUUCACUAAGCACCUCUAAGGUUUAGAAAAAGAAACUUAUUCAUCUCUAAGAUGUUUUGCUUGCAGGGAAUUGUCUCUAAUUAGUUGUUGCAAGAUACGAUAUUUGCGCAGUGAAGAAAUCUUCUGACUAUUUUGGCCUUUCAAUUAUGUUUAAAUUGUCUGCUCACUUCUCCUCUUUUUUUUUUAACUUAAAAUGCAACAAAAAAUUAAACUGACAAUAAGAUGAUAGAUAGUUAAAUGAAAAAAAAAAGGGGACAAUUUUCAUUCUUUGACUCUUUGAAUUAGAUAUGAAGCAGGAUAAAUUUGUGCCUCAACAGGAUGAUAUAAAUUUGUGGCGAACUGGUUAUAAAGUUACAACUCACUGAAAUUCGCAGAGAAUCCGGUUCCCUGGCAUUGCCACCCCACCAAUCAGAGAGCAAUGCCCUUUGUGUUUCGCUGAUGUCUACAAGAAAAUGUUUACUUGAACCAUUUUUUUUUCAAAAAAAAAAAAAGAAGUUGUAUCUUGUUACUGCAAUUGCAGCACUCCUCUGUACAAACGAUCUGGUCGCGCAAAUCCAACUCUACUACAACAUUAAGGAUGGAAAAGAAGCGCGUCGCGGGCGGGCUUGAAGGAUGCAGUAGGGUUCAUAUAAACUGGAACCGCAUCAGAAGCCUUACAGAUCUAAGUUUCUCUCCUUUCUUAUCGUAAAUUGGAACUGCUCGGAUCCCCGGUCUCAACUCCGAAACAGGCAAGCAUGUCUGUCCCCCAAAAUCAUCCUUCUCCGACAUGUCAUGCUCACGGAUUUCAAUCCGAAGCAAAGCUAACUCAGGAACUGUCAAUGGGAAUGUGAAAUCCUCAUCCCAUAUCGGUCCCCAGUCAUCCUCUAUUAUCCUCGUCUUUUUCUUGGCCUCAUCUGCAGGCACUCCUACCAUCUGAACCUGCAGUUCAUGAGGAAAUUAUCUUAGGCUCAACCUAUUGAACAAGAUUUAAUAUGUUAAGGAGGAAACAAAACAGAAGAAAUAGAUGAACGCGUCAACAGAAGCAGCAGAUUGCAACAAUAUAUCAGUUCAGCCACUCAUUACAUGGGUAUAAGCUCGCCAGAAGUUCCAUUUUCGAACGUCUUAAAAGUUACCAUCGCAUCAAAACAGGAAAUAUCAUAUCAUAUCUAUCAGGAUAACACUUUUAAACCAAUUUUAGUCGCUGACCUUUGUGUAGAAGUCUGGCGGUGAAUAUGAAUCAAAAUGUGUGUGACUGAAAUCUAAUCGCCAUCCAUCUCCCAAAUACACGCUUACCUGUGGAAAAAAUGAUUAAGCUGUAAUUAAUAUAAGUCAUCGGGCGGUUGGAGUUUGCAAUAGCCACUGUCAGAAAGGUGCUCACCUUUAAAGUUUUCUUAACUGGCAAUUUUACUUUAGGAUCAAAUAGCUCAUUCCGCGGUCCCCUUUUCAUGAGAAAGUCAGGCUUCUUAACGUAACCGCAACCUCCAUUAGAUCCGAACAACCCAUGCAUCAACCAAAGUGAUUUUCCAUACCCCUGUUUGUUUGGGUUAAGAAAGAAAAUGAUUUCACUAAAUCCGUUGGUGAAAAGAAUCCUCAACUAAGAUGAAUACAUGCCGACACAAAUGUGGUAAUCAUAAUCAAAUUAUGAAAGUCGAUUGCUUGCUUGUGUACUGUUUCUGUGAUGCAUGUUACCAUUGAUGCAACAGAAGUCAUUGAUGGUUUAUCCCUCGCACAAACUGCUUGUCCAUGCUGACAUGUGAGCAUGGAGCAGUGUAUAGAUGCUGUAUUAGCAGAUUUGCAUGACAUUCUACUUGGAUCACUAUUUACGACAAAGACAAUAAGGAUUUCUGGAAAUGCCAGAGAAGUUAAUUCAAUAAAACUUUUAAUGUAAUUAAACUGCCGGGAAGUGUUAUGUUUAAGAUAAGGACAGUGAAUGAGUGCAUGACCAAGCUCGGAUUGCCAUUCCAGGAGUUUAGGAACACAAGAUUUGAAAACUGACCUGCAUAUUGAAUGCAAGCAUUUGAGCUCCAUGCGUCCAGCCAACUAAAGGGUGAAAAUUGGACGAGGUUACUCUUGUUCCCUUUGGAAACACCCUCAGAAUAUUCUUCUGUGUAAACCUAGAAUUCAAAACUGAAUUCAGCUAAAACAAAAUGUUGGUAGAAGACCAGAUGGGACAGCUAUUGUGAACGUCAAAAGCAAUCUAGCAAUCUUCAACUUUUACUUCAAGUGAAUACCUCACAACAUCAGUUCCAUAUAAAGAUGCAGCCCUUUCAAGGUCUUGUUCAGUCAAACUAAGACGCUUAACUUUGUCCAGCCCAGUUACUAAUGCGUGCCUCAACCCCUGUUUUGCCUUCCCAGCAUGAAUAGCAAUGAGACGCUUGUACUCCGGUGCUGCUAGUUGGGAUGAUUUUUGGUUUUGGAUGUCUCCAUCUUCAUCAUCUGGAUCACUAUCGUACUGAAAUCAUAAACCAAUAAACAUUGCAGAUGAAAUUUUGAGUAAUAUUCAACGGAUGACAAGAAAGAUUCUAUGAAAUGUACCUUUGGGUCGCCCUCCAACGUAUCCUUCAUAAAAAAAUCAUCUUCAGAAGAAUCCUUUUCCGCAGGUGAAGAAGUUCCUUCUUUCUGAUUCUUUAUUUCAAGGUACUCUUUUGGUGGUUUGGUUGAAAGAAUUAUUCGAUGCUUCAAUGCUUCCGGAGAGGGAAAUUCUUCUAAGCAUCCCGACUCCGGGUAAUACAGCAUUUCUCCAAAAAUUUGAAUUACCAUCUAGAAGCAGAUAGGUUAUAUCAGUUGCAAUGUUGAUGUUUUCUCAGUCUUAAAAAAAAAGGAAGAACAAAUAGCGAGAAACUCCAACCUCUGCAACUUUAGCCUGAAGGUCCGGAGUGAGGUGAUCCUCCAAAGUAAUUAUUACAGGGUAGGGAGAUUUGACAAAAGCAUGCUCCCUAAUAGACUUCAAGCAUUUAAUGAGUGGCACUGGAGUGGUCAGCGUCCUGAAAAUGAUCAACAAGGUUAAAUUUUCUUACAUUGCCAUUUCCGGUAAGAGAAAAUUUAGAAGUGUCCCUAAAAAUAGACGCAGCAAAAUUGAAAUGUGAAUAUAUAUCAGACAAAUAGUUUCUGGCACAGAUUUCUAAAUGUGGACAACUAGAGCAAAGCAAAUGAUAGAGAAACCCAUGCUGGUUAUUUUGGGAACACGAGAAGAUAUUUGCCUAUUUAUGCAAUUACAUUACAGAUUAGAAAAUUUAUUUUAUUUUUCUUGAAAAUUUGUCAGACAGCUUAUACUGAUGUAAAACUCAUCUCACCUUCAGUGUAGUUUUAACUGGUAAUUUGGCUUUAGGGUCAAAAAUCUCAUUACCAGUCUUCAAUAAGAUAUCUGGUUUUCUAACAUAUCCACAGCCACCAUUGGCCCUGAACAUUCCACGCAUCACCCAGAGUGAUCUUCCAUAACCCUGUUGAAGAAAAUUGUCACUGAAAAUUUCCUUGAAAUAGACUUUGGCCUAAUUACUAUAAAUUAAAAUGAAAGGUGCCAAUAAAUUUACAUUGUAAUAUGCCAACAUCGAAGAACAAUAUGACAAUCAAGAUAAAAUGAUAACCUGCAUGUUUAGUGCGACCAUCUGUGCCCCAUGCAUCCAUCCAAUGAGGGGAUUGUAAUUAGAUGAGUCAAAACGUAUUCCCUUUGGGUAUACUCUCAACAAGUUCCUCUGAGUAAAACUGAAAGAGGAAUAUAGAAAAGCCUGGACAGCUUAUUAAUUGGAAAUGAUUACUUAAUUCAAGCGCAAGGUCAAGAAUUGAAGCCUAAAGAGAGGUAUUAUGGAUUAUGUUGUCGAUUGGAGCAUCAAUGCAGCAAGAUUCAAGGAUGAAACAGUACAUUUUACAGGGCCUAGAUGAUCGAACUACAUACCAUGACUAUAAAACCCCAUUAAUGAAGGCAAAAUAAGCUGAAUACAUGUGUAUCUGAGUAUCCAGCAAGAACAAUUGUUCUAACUAUGACGAUCUAUAGUAAUCAGGAUGACAUCUCUCAGGAUUACUUUUAUACCAUUUACAAUGCAGGGAAACCCCUAGAGAAGUCAAGCAAAAGCUACUGCACGAAGUAUGCACUGGUUGUAUGUUGUAGACAAAGUAACAUGAUCAACAUAGUACCUUAUAAUUUCUUUUGCAUGAGUUACAGCAGCCUUCUCAAGUUCUAGCUCACUUAAACUAAGGCGUCUCACUUUGUUAGGAUCGAGCCUCAGCCAAUCAUCCAGUCCACCCUUUCCCUUUCCAGCAUGGAUUGCAAUCAAACGUUUAUAUUCUGGGACUGCAAUUUGCUGAGACUUGCGAUCUACUUCAUCAUCGUCAUCGUCCUCAUGAGCUUCCUCUUCAUUGAGAUCAUCCUGCAACAAACAGCUUAUGUAGAAAAGUUUAAAUUGAAAACAACGCACGAAGCUGUAACUCAAAUUGUGAUUAUCAGUUAAGUAAUUGGAAUGUUCAGUCAGACCUCAUCAUUGGUCCUAGAUUUAUUAAUUGAGAUUUCUCUUCCCCAAGGUUCUGCUUCAGCUGAUUGUUUUCCUUCCUUCACUUCAUUCUGUUCUCCACUAAGGUCUUUUGCCUCUAAGUACUCCUUAGGUGGUUUAGUUGAUAUCAUAACCUUUCUUUUCAAGGAUUCUGGCGAGGGAAACUCUCUUAGACCGUCUGAUCCAGGUACGAACAGCAUAUCUCCAAAUGUUUCAUUAAUCAUCUAAGAUUUUUUAGACAUUGCAAAUGUUAGCAGUAGAGCAAUGAAAGUACUAGUUACUCUCUGUCCAAAGUGCAAUUUUACACACCUCAGCUACUUUAGCUUGAAGAUGCCGAGGAAGAUGGUCUUCAAGUGUGAUAACAACAGGAUACUCGGAUGCAGAGAAUGCAUGCUCUUUAAUAGACCUCAAGCAUUUGAUGAGUUGCACAGGAGUUGUCAGCGUCCUGUAUAAGAAAGUAGAUAUCUUGGCUAAUUACAACUUCAUUUCCAACUUGGAACCAAUUAAUGUCCGACUCAAAAAGAAUCCAUACACAAAUUGAGUUAAUUUCUUCGAUGAAGAUCAGUACCUUCCAUGCAGGACAUCAACAUCAUCUUUUGUGGAAUUAGGCCAUAUAUCCAAUUCGAUUACUCUCACACCAUUCUGGAGUGCAUUUAUUAUAGGGACAUCGCUGCAGUCACUACUUAGCUGAUUCCCAGUCAAAUAAGAAUUAUGCCCGGUAUAUAUAUAGUAAUGAGACAAUGGAUCAUGCAUAUCAUGAUGAACCUGUUUUGUUUGAAACAAAAAACCCACCUCAUAAUCAUUUAAAAAAAAAAUCAACUCUGAUGCUUAGAAAUUGAUAUAAAUGGAGAAGAAAUGGAAUUACCCCGCGACGAGGAUCAAUAGGAGGAUUAAUAUCUCCAAAAAGAUACUUGAAAAAUUGCUCAAGAUUAAGACCGCUGCGAUGGAAAAUGUUGAGGUGUUUAGGCUCAUGAAGGCUAUUUAUGAUGGCUCCAGCAUCCUCCACCGUGGCAUUCUCUUGCUUUUGAACUUCAACCAAGAAACGAUGGAGGUUAUCAACGCUUAUGGUCCCGUUUUCGGAGUAGCGGUCGAAUAUGGACUUGAUUUCAGCCGGGGCCUCUGCAGAAGCCAGCUUGAACCUUCGCCGGCAACAAAAGCAUACUCUGUAGGUCUGUUUAGACAUGCGAUUGGAUUUUGGAUUUACGUCAACUAAAAGUGAAAGAAGAGAAGAGGAGUAGAGUUGAUUAUGGAUGUUGAGGAUUGAGGAUCUUAGGUGUUUUUUUUUAUCAAGGAUGGGAUUUGAGGAUAGCUUUGCUUGUGAAGAUGGGAAGGCAUUUCCGGAGAUUGGACCGGGCAAAGUUCACUGUCGAACUCGGAACCAAAUCCAACCAACCGAACUUUUUCCUACAGGGAAAAAAAAAAAAAGAAAAGAAAAGAAAAAGAUAACGAUUCUGGUUU